AUUGAACGCUGGCGGCAUGCUUUACACAUGCAAGUCGAACGGUAACAGGCCGCAAGGUGCUGACGAGUGGCGAACGGGUGAGUAAUGCAUCGGAACGUGCCCAGUCGUGGGGGAUAACGCAGCGAAAGUUGCGCUAAUACCGCAUACGAUCUAUGGAUGAAAGCGGGGGACCGUAAGGCCUCGCGCGAUUGGAGCGGCCGAUGUCAGAUUAGGUAGUUGGUGGGGUAAAGGCUCACCAAGCCGACGAUCUGUAGCUGGUCUGAGAGGACGACCAGCCACACUGGGACUGAGACACGGCCCAGACUCCUACGGGAGGCAGCAGUGGGGAAUUGUGGACAAUGGGCGCAAGCCUGAGCCAGCAAUGCCGCGUGCAGGAAGAAGGCCUUCGGGUUGUAAACUGCUUUUGUACGGAACGAAACGGUCCUGGUUAAUACCCGGGGCUAAUGACGGUACCGUAAGAAUGAGCACCGGCUAACUACGUGCCAGCCGCCGCGGUAA
rnacentral:rRNA from 1 species